AUGGAGUUCAGAUCUAGGUGUCGCCUGGGUUUCCUAGAUCCAGAUCGCAUCAGCACCCUUCCUGAUGAUCUACUCCUCCUCAUCCUUGCCAAGCUCCCCUGCAUCGGAGUUGCGGCGCGCACAAGCAUCCUCUCACGGCGGUGGCGCGGCCUCUGGGCCAGUCUCCGCCAAAUCAUCUUUCGCGAGGUCGUGUUCGACUCGAUCGAACCAGCACUCGGCCAGAUCUCUUGUCCUCCUGCUAUUUCCCUGUUGGAAAUCCACGCCCCCGAGCAGGACAUGGCGAGCACUGCACAAGUCAACUCGUUGUUGUCCGCCGCCGCGGAACUUGAGCCGAAGGAGUUUGUCGCUUCCUUCCCCUCAAGCUUUGGCCUAUUAGGAAGGUCCAUCAUCAUUGAUUUGCCUUGCUUCCGCCACACCACCUACAUCAUGCUGGACCAUGUAUACAUUCGCUCCGUCGCAGUCAGCGUCGAGUUUCCUGUGCUCAAGACGUUGUCCCUACUGCACUGCAAUGGCAACCUCGAGGCUUUGCUCUCAUGCUGUCCGCGCUUGUGCACCCUCCUGCUCAGCGGCAUUUUAUUUGAUACGUGUGAUCUAAGGGUGAAUUCGCCGUCGCUGCAGGAGCUUGUUGUGAACCCAUUCUCGACAGAACAUGUCAACAUUGUUGCCCCCAUGCUUAAGAAAAUGGAGAUUCUCCUUACCGUGAUGUUGGAGGUCAACAUUUCAGUAUUGGCACCAAUUAUGGAGAAUGUCUGGUGGUACUGCUGCUACACUGAGGAGUCUAUUGUGUUUGGUCCUUGGUAUCUCGAGUUGUUGGGGUUGCAGGUGGCAGAUAGACAAGGACAACUCCCUUUGUUGCAUAUUCGUGCAAGUGUAGACUCGUCACUUUUCCCCUACGAGCCCAACUUUGCACAGGAGAUAGAGAAGCAUAUGGUUGUUGACUUCUCUCUUUUGGAGUUAGAUCUCAAAACAGAUGGACAUGUUUUGGGAGCCCUCGUGUUUUAUCUCCUUCAGAUUGAUCAAAUUUCUAGUUCACUGCGGAAGCUUAAAAUCAUCCUAUUAAGAUCAGUGGUAAAAGAAGAAUGCCCAACGGAUUGUCCCUGUGAGUGCACAAACUGGAGGUCCCAAGCUAUCUCCUUGACUGCUCUUGAAGAAGUGGAAAUCAAUGGAUUUGAAGGAGUGGAUCAUGAGUUUGAUUUACUGAAAAAACUACUUGUAUUCGCACCAAAGCUUAAAAAAAUUAUUGUGAGGCUCACACAGGAGGUCUCAUCAAGUAACACUAGACGCACUAAAAUAUACAACGUCUUCGAGACCUAUGGUUCAGCAGAAUGCUUUGUCUAUCUUAGCUCUGGUUUAAUAGACGACAUCCAAAAUCAACCAUCGACAUGA
rnacentral:rRNA from 1 species